rnacentral:rRNA from 1 species
UACGUAGGGGGCAAGCGUUGUCCGGAAUCAUUGGGCGUAAAGAGCGUGUAGGCGGCUUGGUAGGUCCGCUGUGAAAACUCGAGGCUCAACCUCGAGAUGUCGGCGGAAACCACUUGGCUAGAGUCCGGGAGAGGAGAGUGGAAUUCCUGGUGUAGCGGUGAAAUGCGCAGAUAUCAGGAAGAACACCUAUGGCGAAGGCAGCUCUCUGGGACGGUACUGACGCUGAGACGCGAAAGCGUGGGGAGCGAACAGG